GGGAUACUGGAGGAGUUGUCCGCUCACCCUGCGAGAAGUCCUCGUUAAUGACUGGAGAACACGGGUUCGGUGGUAGAAAGACCUCAGCCCCUUCAUGGAGGCGGCACUCCUUGAUGGACCUGUCAUUUGCACGGGAGGAUGCUGCCUGGACUGGUGAAUGGUCAGUACUGCAGGUUGAACCACAGACCCUAAAGAAAGUCCUCUGAUUGACUGACUACUUCACACUGGAGUUAUGGAGAGAUUUGUACAAAUGGCUUCAGCUGCAUGAAGGCAAAGAUAAAAUACAAGUAACAAUCAUAUACUCAAGAGAGAUUGCAGGAUGGAGUCUUGAGCAAUACUCGGAAUCGGAUGGCAGAGGGGAAGAAGCUGUUCCUGAAUCACUGGGUGCGGUAAACUAUGUGUAUACCUGUCUGGACACGCCCCUCUGCUGACUGAACCUGUGGCUCCUCCCACAGACCUCUGUAUAAAGGCG